rnacentral:lncRNA from 1 species
UUCAGUGCUGUGUGUUCUUGGCCUCCAUGCUGGGGGUGCCACCAAUUCCCACUGUCCAGGGCUUCCAGUGGACUCUCCGAGGUACUGAUGUAGAAACUUCCCCAUUCGGUGCACCAAGAGCAACCUCACACGGUGUGGGCCAAAUGAAGAGCUGCCAGAUCCCACAGAAAUGUGAUUGAUAAUAGUAAAGCCACACUCCUCAAGUGCCUGAAAUACCCCUCAUUGUCUUCUUCAGGUGGCAAGGGCUCUGGAACAGCCACAUAAAGGCUGAUGACUUCAGGGACAUGAGCAUGGGAUACCUGUCAUCACCACCACCAUAAAGUUGGGAUUCAGGAAGGAGGUUAAUCAUAUAAAGAAUCCUGUGACCAGUAUGAGCUUCUCUCAGGCCACACAGGGCACUCAAGUGAACAGGGCAU